rnacentral:rRNA from 1 species
UGGGGAAUAUUGGACAAUGGGCGCAAGCCUGAUCCAGCAAUGCCGCGUGUGUGAAGAAGGCCUGCGGGUUGUAAAGCACUUUCAGUAAGGAGGAAGGCCUCGAUGUUAGUAGUAUCGAGGAUUGACGUUACCUACAGAAGAAGCACCGGCUAACUCUGUGCCAGCAGCCGCGGUAAUACAGAGGGUGCAAGCGUUAAUCGGAAUUACUGGGCGUAAAGGGCGCGUAGGUGGUUAUUUAAGUCAGAUGUGAAAUCCCUGGGCUUAACCUAGGAAUUGCAUUUGAAACUAGAUGGCUAGAGUAUGGUAGAGGGAAGUGGAAUUUCCGGUGUAGCGGUGAAAUGCGUAGAUAUCGGAAGGAACACCAGUGGCGAAGGCGACUUCCUGGACCAUUACUGACACUGAGGCGCGAAAGCGUGGGGAGCGAACAGG